AUUGAACGCUGGCGGCAGGCCUAACACAUGCAAGUCGAACGGUAACAGGAAACAGCUUGCUGUUUCGCUGACGAGUGGCGGACGGGUGAGUAAUGUCUGGGAAACUGCCUGAUGGAGGGGGAUAACUACUGGAAACGGUAGCUAAUACCCCAUAACGUCGCAAGACCAAAGCGGGGGACCUUCGGGCCUCUUGCCAUCGGAUGUGCCCAGAUGGGAUUAGCUAGUAGGUGGGGUAACGGCUCACCUAGGCGACGACCCCGAGCUGGUCUGAGAGGAUGAACAGCCACACUGGAACUGAGACACGGUCCAGACUCCUACGGGAGGCAGCAGUGGGGAAUAUUGCACAAUGGGCGCAAGCCUGAUGCAGCCAUGCCGCGUGUAUGAAGAAGGCCUUCGGGUUGUAAAGUACUUUCAGCGGGGAGGAAGGGAGUAAAGUCAAUACCUUUGCUCAUUGACGUUACCCGCAGAAGAAGCACCGGCUAACUCCGUGCCAGCCGCCGCUGUAA
rnacentral:rRNA from 1 species